UACGUAGGGUGCAAGCGUUGUCCGGAAUUAUUGGGCGUAAAGAGCUCGUAGGCGGUUUGUCGCGUCGAAUGUGAAAACCCGGGGCUCAACCCCGGGCCUGCAUUCGAUACGGGCAGACUAGAGUUCGGUAGGGGGAGUCUGGAAUUCCUGGAUGUAGCGGUGAAAUGCGCAGAUAUCAGGAGGAACACCGGUGGCGAAGGCGGGAC
rnacentral:rRNA from 1 species